UUCUUGGCAUCGUUCAGUACCUGAAGGCACGUGUUAAUCGAGAUGAACAGCAUUGUUUCGUGGCGUGAUUGUAAAGGGUUGGGCCUAAUCAAACUAUAAAUGAGAAACCGUUUACCAGCUUCUCAUUUUACAUGAUCCCCCAAAGCCGCUUUUUAAAAAAAGCAGAUUUUAUAAAAAUAAAAAAAGGUCCUGGGGCAGGAGUUCAUCUGACAGACAGGUCCAUUGGUGGAGAGACGAGACUGUAGGCCGGCAUACAGAGCCUCUUCAUCAAAGAGAAAGUAGUGUCUUGGUGGCUCCUGCCCCGGGAACUACUAAAAAAAAAAAUAUGAGUUCUUCACCAGAAAAAUCUCACCUAACCCCACCGAGCUCUGAACAGAUUUCCCUAACACAUAAAGAGACGCCUGAAUUUCCAAAAUACCAAACAAUUUUAUCUGAUGGGUAAGUUCACAUAUAGACAUAUUUUGUAAGUGUUAUAAAGUAUUUAAAUCAGUGUUAUUUAUUUAUUUAAACAAUCUUAAGUUUUUUAUUGAAAUGAAAAAAGACCUGCCAACCUUGGAAAUGUAAUUUGAGUACAGGACUAGACUAGACACGUGAUUGGGGGGGUUAGGGGUCAUAUAUCAAAGAUUUCACUACACCUGCUCAAAAGCAUUUUUUUAAAUUCAUGAUUAAUAUUGAAUUGCAUAAUGUGUGCUUAUACAAGCUGACAACUACAAGUGAAUCGCAUUAAACUAUUUAAUAUGACUAAAAUAUAAUUUUUUUUUAUUUGCAAUUUCAAGUAGGCUAUAUCUACAUACUACGAAUAACCUGAAGUCAAGACGUUUAUACAGAUUUAAUGAAAACUAGUCUAAAAUUAAGAAACCCUAAAAAAUUUAAAAUACUUAAUUUAUUAUUCCAAUAUCCAAAUAUGAUACUAAAUCCUACAGAAAAGAAAGGUUUCUAUUUGUAAUGUGCUGUCUUUUAUUUUGAUCAGUGCACAUUAAACAAGACAAACAUUCACUGAAUAAACGAAAACAGCUGACAAUGAAUAGAAAGGACCAAUAAGAGCAAAACGCAUCGAGUAUUCAAGAAUAUCAAGAAGUUAGUCCGACAUAUAACGAGGGGUUGUGUUAACUAAAGCAUCUGUCAUUUACCGCAUCUUAAAAACACGGGUGUAUUAUUCAAAAUGUUUUCUGACAAAAAAAUAACACAAGAAAAAAAAAAUUCAAUGUAAGUAUAUGCAGUAUAAAACAAAUGCAGUUUAACUGCACAAUGGCUGCUAUAAAUUACAACAAAGCCAGCAAAGAUUGCAGUUCAGUUCAUGUUAUUGUUUACACGGUCGUCAAGAGCAGAGCAAAUGUGGGCAGCCACACCAUUGUUUUAAAAGUCUCUGUUUUGUUCCAUUUAUACUGAAAUGCAACCGGUGUAGUGUAAACGACUGGUGUAACCAUAGCAAAACGUCUGCGUUUUAAACCGAAAACGCACUAGUGUAAAUGGGCCUCAUAUACAUUGUCAUUUUGCAUCACACCAUGCCACAUCCAGUGUAAAAAAUGUCACUGAUUAUAAAUGGGUUCUACUGUCUUUUGUCGUGUCGCAUC